rnacentral:rRNA from 1 species
GGACUACUGGGGUAUCUAAUCCCGUUUGCUCCCCUGGCUUUCGCGCCUCAGCGUCAGAAGAGGUCCAGCCCGUCGCUUUCGCCACCGGCGUUCCUUCCGAUAUCUACGCAUUUCACCGCUCCACCGGAAGUUCCACAGGCCCCUACCUCCCUCGAGACCACCAGUAUCAAAGGCCCUUUUCCGGUUGAGCCGAAAGAUUUCACCCCUGACUUGGUGGCCCGCCUACGCGCCCUUUAAGCCCAGUGAUUCCGAACAACGUUCGCACGGUUCGUCUUACCGCGGCUGCUGGCAC